rnacentral:rRNA from 1 species
UACGAAGGGGGCUAGCGUUGUUCGGAAUUACUGGGCGUAAAGCGCACGUAGGCGGAUACUUAAGUCAGGGGGUGAAAUCCCGGGGCUCAACCCCGGAACUGCCUUUUGAUACUGGGUAUCUCGAGUCCGGAAGAGGUGAGUGGAAUUCCGAGUGUAGAGGUGAAAUUCGUAGAUAUUCGGAGGAACACCAGUGGCGAAGGCGGCUCACUGGUCCGGUACUGACGCUGAGGUGCGAAAAGCGUGGGGAGCAAAGCAGGAU